rnacentral:tRNA from 1 species
GGCGAGGUAGCUCAGUUGGUUAGAGCGUGGGAAUCAUAAUCCCAAGGUCGCGGGUUCAACUCCCGCCCUCGCCA